CCUACGGGAGGCAGCAGUGAGGAAUAUUGGUCAAUGGACGAGAGUCUGAACCAGCCAAGUAGCGUGAAGGAUGACUGCCCUAUGGGUUGUAAACUUCUUUUAUAUGGGAAUAAAACGUUCCACGUGUGGGAUUUUGUAUGUACCAUAUGAAUAAGGAUCGGCUAAUUCCGUGCCAGCAGCCGCGGUAAUACGGAGGAUCCGAGCGUUAUCCGGAUUUAUUGGGUUUAAAGGGAGCGUAGGUGGAUUGUUAAGUCAGUUGUGAAAGUUUGCGGCUCAACCGUAAAAUUGCAGUUGAAACUGGCAGUCUUGAGUACAGUAGAGGUAGGCGGAAUUCGUGGUGUAGCGGUGAAAUGCUUAGAUAUCACGAAGAACUCCGAUUGCGAAGGCAGUUCACUGGACUGCAACUGACACUGAGGCUCGAAAGUGUGGGUAUCAAACAGGAUUAGAUACCCGUGUAGUC
rnacentral:rRNA from 1 species